rnacentral:lncRNA from 1 species
AAUAAAAUAAAAAUAAAUUUUAUUUUCGGCUCAUAUUUGUGGUCCCAAACCACUGUUCUGAUUUCACUGAAAUUGGGCUGUUACACAAACUCUCCAAAACUAGAGAAGAAAAUCAGUAAAAGAGAAAAACCCUAUGGAGAGCCAAGAUUUAGUAGAUUAUCGAAUUGAAAAAAUUAAGUUUUCCAAGAACCAAAGCAAAAACCCAAUUAGCAUGAAAGACAGUAAUUUGACCAACCCGUCGCAACCACUCUCUUGACCAACUCUGGUGUUUCUUUGAUAUAGAACCGUUCAUUUGAUAAUCGACGUCCCUCUCUUGCCAACACAUGGGCUGCCUCAUUCGCAUCUCUCCCCACAUGGUGAAAGGUAACAGUGGCAAACAAACCCAUUUUAUGCUUAAUGUUUGCAACGACUAGGCCUAAAAUUGACCUGUCUAGUGUGUCCGAUUGUAGUUUUUCAUAAUCGCAAAAGAGUCCCCUUCGAUCUGAAUAGACUGGAACCCAAGCUCCCUCGCAAACCAAAUCGCCUGUUCGCAUGCCUGAGCCUUUGCCACAAACGUAUCUGCAACAUGAGAGUGAGGGUAAGUACAAGCCCCUAUUAUCAAACCCAUUUCGUUUCAUACAAUAAUGCCUAAGAAGGAUCUAUUUUCAUGCACAUUAAAAGAUGAGUCAAAAUUAAUUUUUAUAGUGCCCUACUCGGGUGGCCUUUAAUAAGUAGUCUUAGAUAUACAAACAGAUGAGCUCUCCUCUAAUAGUGAUUCUAGUUUUUUCGUAUACUCUAAAAUAAACCCUGAUAUAUCUUGAAUUGAUUGUUUGAUGCCAUCAUGCGCCAAUCAAUUUCUGGCAAACCAAAUAGACCAUAUUAUUACUGUCAAUAACUUCUUAUUUUUGUCAUUUGCCAUGUUGAAUGAUUCCAUUAACCAAUAUCUAUGGUCUGAGUGCUUUGAGACAGGCAAUUUGAUAACAUGCAAAAAGUCUAGAACUUGUUUUGUAAUUGAACAAAACCUAAAGAGAUGGUCCACUGAUUUAGUACCUUCAAGGCACAACGGGCAAGCACCAGGACUAAGGAGAUUUCUCUUAGUUAGGUUAGCAUAAGUAGGUAUGUAGUCAUUGUAGACUUUCCACAACUGAAUUUUUAUUUUUUUGUGAAAUUUGUAAGCCCAUAGAGCUGAGAAAAAACUUGUACCCAGGGUUAUAGUAGGCUUGUUAGGAGCUCUCUGGUUGGAAAAUAUUUCAUGUAACAGUAGCUUGUAUCCACUUUUGGACUGUAUACUCUCUCGUUCCUUUAAUGUAACACCCUUACCCGCAUUCAACGCCGGAACAGGGUACGAGGCAUUACCGAACUUAUCACACGAACAACCAUACAAUUCUAAGUCAUGAAUUUGCGUCCAAAUUAAAACCAUUUACAUUUAAUCAUAAAGUCCCUGAUACGAGCCUACGGGGCUGAAAACGUGUAUUGGAAGUGAUUCAGAACUAAACCGAGAACUUUAGAAAAUUUUACAGAACUUAGAAAACUUUCCACUAAAAAGGGGUCACACACCCGUGUGGAUAUAGGGCAUGCCCGUGUGGGAAGGCCAUGUGGUCACUCACGUCCGUGUCCCGACCCCGUGUCACUCUCUGACUUGUAACUCAUGAACAAAUUGAGAUCACAUGGCCAAGUCACACGCCCGUGUGCUAGGCUGUGUGGAAUAUAAAUUUUCAUAAAAUAGGUGCAGACUUGCCACGGCUAAGGCACACACCCAUGUUCGAGGCCAUACCGUCCACACGGCUAAAGCCCACAUCCGUGUCUCUGUCCGUGUGCUCAAUUUUGAGCAUUCUGUUUCUCAAAAUUAAGGUACAGGGGACACACGGCCUAAACACAUGCUCAUGGGGCAAACCGAGUGUCGUACACGGCCUAGACACACCCAUGUGGACAAAAAUAAGGCUAUUUACCAAGCUAUUUUGCCACUCUUUUAUGCACACUACACAACAUAACAUAGCACCAAUCCAAGCAUAUACAUACAACCAAACAUCCAUAACUAAGACAUCAACACAUCAUUCAUGAAAGACAUUAUUAUAUGAAUAUAUUUAUAACCGAUAUUAGCCCAUUUUCAAUAGCCUUAUCCAAAAUGAAUUUCUAACCAAUAUAAGCCAACACAUUUGGCAAAAUCAAUUAUGGCACAUAACAAAAUGACCAAGUCCCCUAUACAUGCCAUAACUCAAAAUGUUGAAUUCCUUAAUACCAAAAUAUUUUUUAAUAGUGUGAAUGGAUCUCUGACGAUCUCCAAACCCGAGCUAGCUUGGUGUCACUAUAAGAUAAGGGAAAGAAAGGUGAGUAAGCUAUAUAGCUUAGUAAGUUCAUAUGCAAAUAAUAAGUAUCUUAACCACACUUUAAUCAUGCAAUUUAUAUAAAGUAAGAUAACAUAAAUAUUACUAAUAUCUUAUAGUCAUAACUUGCUCAAUCACAACCUUACCAAGAGUUUAUCACCUAUCGAGUUUAUUACUUACGAGUUUUACGUACAUACCUGUACCAACUCGUAACAUAACCACAUCCUUUCGCAUCUUGACAUUCUCGUUGAACACUUGGAAUAUUAUCCGAAAAAUCUUGUACAUAAGUGUCAUAUAUGGAGCUAAAGCUACCUCAUAUCUCAUAACACAUAUAGGCUCGCUCAUGAGCUAUUCACGGGCCUACUCAUACAAGUUGUCAGUCACGAUGUAGCUACAUAGUGCUGUUCACACAAGCUGUCAGGUAUUCGCAACAUAUGUCGGAAUACCCAGCCACUAUUAGGACGUACGAUACCAGCACCCAGAUCACAUAAACACAUAUACACAUGGGUUCCUAGUGACAUGUCAUUAUUAUCCGAUUCUAUUCCUAAGGUUCAAUCGGGAUUCCUAGCUUGUCGAAACUUUGUCGAAUAAAAUUCAGAGAGUCAAUCACACAAUACAUGCAAUAUUAAAACAUUUAAAACAUAAAUAUUACAUUGCAUUAUUUACAUACAAACUUACCUUAGUACGAAAAAUAGUAGAAUUGGACCUAAUCGUCAAACACUUUGUUUUUCCCCCGAUCUAGGUCUGAACCUCGUUUUUCUUGAUCUAUAAUAACAAAUUUAACUCAUUUAACACUCACAUUAUUAAAUUUAGCCCAAAAAUCACAUUAUGACAAAAUUAUAUUUUUCCCCUAAUGUUUCACAUUUUUACAAUUUAGUCCCUAGGCUCGUAAAAUGAAAUGCAUUCAAUUUCUUCAAAACCCAAGCCUAGUUGAACCAUUUUCAUACUCAUAUCAGCCCACAUUUUCCACUUAAUCACACUUUUACUACUCAUUUUAUAACUUUUACAAAUAAGUCCUUUUGACAUUUUUACCAAAAAAUCACUUCGCAAAAGUUGUUUAUCUAACACCAAACAUGCAUUUUCUACCAUUAGACAUCAAAAUACACAAAUAUCUAACAUGGGUAAAAUUUUAAACUUCAUCUUUCUUUCAAAUUAGUCCUUGAAAUAGCUAGAUUAGAUUACAAGGAUUUCAAAAACAUGAAAAUAAUUAAAAACAGGGCUAGAAUGGACUUACAAUUGAGCUUGAAAGCUUGGAAAACCCUAGCUAUGUCUUCUCUUGUGAUUUUCAGCCAUGGGAGGAUGAAAUUGAGAAGAUGACAUCUUUUAUUUGUUAAAUUUUUUCUUUAUUAGCCAAAUGACCAAAAUGCCCUUAAUGCCAAACUUUAAAAUUUCACCCUCCUAUGUCCAUUUUUGUCCAACUCAAAUUAUAAUGGUCUAAUUACCAUUUAAGGACCUCCAAUUUAAAAUUUCAUAGCAAUUAGACACCUCUAGCUUCUAGAACACACAUUUCACCUAUUACAAAUUAGUCCUCUUAGUCAAAUUGGACACCUUAUGGAUUAAAUUUCUUAACGAAAUUUUCACCACAAUCAUUCAAUCAUACUGCAGACCAUAAAAAUAUAAUAAGAUAAAUAAACUUUCUACGUCGAAUUCAUGGUCCCGAAACCACUGUUUUAACUAGACCCAAAGUCGGGAUGUUACAUUUAACUUGCCAAAUUUUGAGAUUAAGUGGUUUCAUCUAAGCUAUAGGGAUGGAUAAGAUAGUUAUGUUAGUUUUUUCCUAUAGUUGAUUUGUAGAAAAAAGUAGUAUUACUAUCCCUAUGCUUCAGCCAAUUAAUACGUGCCUUUUGCUCCUAAUACAUUUCCUCUUUGUCUGCCUCAAAGUUCAAAUCUAACUGAAUAUUUGUCAAUUCCGAGAGAGUAUCAUCAUUCGGUUCCUUCGUUAGUAGCACGCGCAAUCUAUCCUCCAAGUGUUUCUUACAAGCCAUGCGAUAUUGUUUUAGUUUAGAACUCCAAUCCAUGGGUCGAUGUCCCAAACCAUUUAAUUUCUCGGGUAAAUUUUCUGAAAUAGAGCCCCAGUACUCUUAGAUAACUGUCUCACACUCACCCUCCAAACACCAAUCAGCAUUAAAUUUGAAUCUCCUCUACCCCAUCCCAUGGUUUUUUAUAUCUUGAUUUUUUGUUGCCACUAAAUUCAGACAAUGGUUAGAAAUGGAAUGUAAUAAGUGAUUAACCAAAACAUCAGGAAAUUGACACCACCACGUCGUAUUUGCUAUACCCCGAUCAAGUCAUUCCCGGAUAUUUGCUGCUGUAAAUUUACCCCUAUCCCAAAUGUACCAUUUCCCAUUGUAACCCAAAUCACUAAGAUCACAAUCGGCCAAUGUAGAACAAAAAGCUUCCAUUUGGCUUUCUGCUCGAAUUCGACCACUUGAUUUUUUCAAAAGAGAAAACAAUUUCGUUAAAAUCACCCACCACUAACCAAGAUAAUUUUUUAUCCUGACCUAGCUUGCAAAGAAGAUUCUAGGUAGAAUCUCGUAAGCAUUCCUCAAAAUGGCCAUAAAACCCAAUAAAGCGCCAUUAAAUUCCACUAUAGUCCUUGUGCACUUCCACAUCUAUAUGGUGGUUAGAAAAAAUUCGUAGAAUCACCACCUCAUUUUGCCUCAACCCUAAACAAAACCCACCUUUUAAACCAUCGGCUCCAACUUCAAUUCCAUUGUGAAAUCCAUAUUUCCUUCGGAUACUUUCCAUCCUCCUCACACUUAAUUUUGUUUCCAUUAGAAUCAAAAUUUGGGGAUAAAUGACUCUCAGUUUAUUCCUGGAACGAUAAACUACUUGCGAAUUCCCCAGUCCACGGACAUUCCAGCUUAGUAUUUUCAUAAUGCCUAGCUGCCCUAUCUAACAGAGCCAAUAAAUAAUUCAUCAAUGCCUUCAGACACAUAUGUUCCUCAAAUUGUUCAUUGUCGUUUCUUCCCAUUAUCUGAGUGAAUGGGGUUGUUUUCACCAUCAGAACCAAAGUCCAUAAACCCAGCAACCAUACCAAUACCACCACCCGGCCCAAUACCAUCAUUACAAUCCCUAGUAAAUCCAGAAAGAAUCACCUCACUGAUAAUCGAAUUCCUCUGAUUGAUAUUACCCCCCGAAUUAUGCACUAAGACCCUAAUAUUAUGUACCAUUGAUUCCUUUUCCUUUUUCGCAUAUCGCAAAUCCAUACAAUCUAGCUGACGUAGCCAACGAUUGAUUUUCACCUGUCUUUCCCUAACCAUGGCUCGCAAAGUAGCAUCCUAACCAAACACAAUUUUAGAUGGGUCAACAUGAACCCUCACCAGACAAAAACUUUCCCCGUGUCCAAGCUUUCCACAGAUAAAGCAAAAGAGUCUAAGUUUUUCAUAUUGAAACUGAGCAUAAUACAAUUGAUCAUCCACCUGAACCUUUUUCCUCCUUUCAAGGGCUCACAUCCAGUCGAACUUUUAUUCUCUUAUACCGUUGCAACACUAAAGAUGGAAUUCGUGUAUCAUAUUCCAUGAACUCACCCAAGAACGCCCCAAAACAUUUAGCCAUUGUUUCUGACAUAAGACUCGGAGGCAGAUCAUGGAUUUGAAUCCAAAACACAUCAUAAUUCAGUGGGAUUGUGAGUGAAUCUUCUUUCAUUUGCAAUUUAUGUAGUAAUAAUAAAUGGUUAUUAAAAAACCACGGAAGACUUUCUAAAACUCUGUUCAUAUCAACCGCAUGAAAGAACUUAAAUAAAUAGUGUUUCUCCCCUAUAUCAGUUAUAGCAAUACCUUUAAUAGGAUGCCAUAAACCAGCCAUAGUAUUCUGAAGAGAGGAAAAAUGAACCACGCUAUCUGUCAAAUAGGUUCCAACUAGAGAAAACUCCAGAUCUCAUUCCAUCACUUUGGCAUCCUCCUUGAAAGCAUCCUCUUCCUCAUCCGAAAGGUGAAGAUUCGCUAGAUCAUCAUCUAUUGAGCACCAAUCGGAACCGAAAACCAGAAUGACCUAAAGAAAACCACAAGAAACUAAAAAAACA